ACAUAGUAUCCUACCUCGUUUCAAUUUCUAGACUUCUGCGGCUUCCUUGAACGUAGUUAAAAUGGAGAAUGGCUUUCUGCUUUUAAAAUAUGUGCCAACAAUUUUGACUUUUGCAGAAUAUUUAUAGUGAAAAAAAGAGUCUUGGUGCCCUUGAAAUCGAGAAACUGUUUAUGUGUGUGGAAUAGAUGGACAUUAAAAAAAAAGCAAGGAAGCUAUUGAAUUUAAAGAACAAAACCAAAGUUAAAAG
rnacentral:lncRNA from 1 species